rnacentral:lncRNA from 1 species
CACCGUCUUUCAACAGCGUCUCAAAAGGCAUGACAUCGGAUGUCGUCUGGCUUCAGAAUGCUAAUAGCUACCAGUAUAAAAGACGCUAGAAAUUCAGAUCCUGUCAACCAGCUCGAAGUACGAAGAGUUCGAGAUGAAGGGCCGCACCAUUACUUUGGUUCUAGUAGUAGUGCUGUGUGCGAUAAUCAGUUCCGAUUACGUCGAUGGAAAACCUGGGGAACUGGCAGAUAAGGUCGUCGUCGCACUCGGAGAAGUAGAAGCAAGAAGUCUGUAUCUGCCACACCAACGUCAACAUGUACAGGUCGAGGCGCGUGAAAGAACGAAAGAGCCACACGCUAAACGACCAGGUCCAACGCGGAGAAGUCCUUAUUUCUACCAGGGAAAACGUCACACUCGCAGGCAAAGGACGAACUUCAAUAUCAGUGCCCCUAACCCACCUUAAUUCUGUUUGGACUAAAGAAGCACCACCCGGGCUAUUUUAUAACUGAUGUUUGUUGUAGUUAUUGCUGGUUAUGGCUCGUUACAAAUAGUUGAAGGAAUUCAGCUGAACCCAAUAAAUAUGAAAAAGAUGUCUUAAUGAAGAAGUAAA